CCCCUAGUCUAAAUUUUCCUAAAACUGACCCGGUUCCUUUGCCACCCGUCAAAGUUCAGAAAACUGACAGUGGUUUGUGUCAUUAAUCUUUUGGCUGGUCUUUGCUGCUAAUCUUGGGAAGUUCAAAAACAACUUCCUGUACAAGAGGCUAGGGUUACAUGUAUGCUCCAGUAGUGCUUCUUUUCUGCUCCUGUGUGAGACCCACCUGUCCCAGAGCUUCACCUGGGAGGGUAAGCUGCUCUGCAAAGCUGAUUAACUGCUCUUAUCAGGUAUUCUGAGGAUGGGUGUUCUGAGCAGGACAAAAGCCUCAUUUAGAGAAAUCCAUUUCCUUCUCUUCAUCCAAUCAGGUGGGAGUAUCCACAGACAUGAUGGGGACGGAGGGGGCAUGGCUCUCUCAGAUUUAUGUUGGAGCCGCUUCUGCAU